rnacentral:misc_RNA from 1 species
GAUGAAGAACGCAGCGAAAUGCGAUAAGUAAUGUGAAUUGCAGAAUUCAGUGAAUCAUCGAAUCUUCGAACGCACAUUGCGCCCGCUAGUAUUCUGGCGGGCAUGCCUGUCCGAGCGUCAUUUCAACCCUCAAGCCCCCGGGCUUGGUGUUGGGGAUCGGCGAGCCUCCGCGCCCGCCGUCCCCUAAAUCUAGUGGCGGUCUCGCUGUAGCUUCCUCUGCGUAGUAGCACACCUCGCACUGGGAAACAGCGCGGCCACGCCGUUAAACCCCCAACUUCUGAACGUUUGACCUCGGAUCAGGUAGGAAUACCCGCUGAACUUAAGCAUAUCAAUAAGCGGAGGA